GAUGAAGAACGUAGCGAAAUGCGAUAAGUAAUGUGAAUUGCAGAAUUCAGUGAAUCAUCGAAUCUUUGAACGCACCUUGCGCCCUUUGGCCAUUCCGAAGGGCAUGCCUGUUUGAGUAUCAUGAACACCUCAACUCUUUAUGGUUUUCCAUGAUGAGCUUGGACUCUGGGGGUUUUGCUGGCUCACAGCCGGCUCCUCUAAAAUGAAUCAGCUUACCAGUGUUUGGUGGGUAUCAUGGGUGUGAUAACUAUCUACGCUUGUGGUUUUUCCACCAGGUAACCUUCAGCAGUGGAGGUUCGCUGGAGCUCAUAGAUGUCUCUCCUCGGUGAGGACAGCCCUUUGAGCGUUUGAUCUCAAAUCAGGUAGGUCUACCCGCUGAACUUAAGCAUAUCAAUAAGCGGAGGA
rnacentral:misc_RNA from 1 species